CCUACGGGAGGCAGCAGUGGGGAAUUUUGGACAAUGGGGGCAACCCUGAUCCAGCCAUUCCGCGUGAGUGAAGAAGGCCUUCGGGUUGUAAAGCUCUUUCGGCAGGAACGAAACGGUGAGCUCUAACAUAGCUCGCUAAUGACGGUACCUGAAGAAGAAGCACCGGCUAACUACGUGCCAGCAGCCGCGGUAAUACGUAGGGUGCGAGCGUUAAUCGGAAUUACUGGGCGUAAAGCGUGCGCAGGCGGUUGUGUAAGACAGGUGUGAAAUCCCCGGGCUUAACCUGGGAACUGCGCUUGUGACUGCACGGCUAGAGUAUGGCAGAGGGGGGUGGAAUUCCACGUGUAGCAGUGAAAUGCGUAGAGAUGUGGAGGAACACCGAUGGCGAAGGCAGCCCCCUGGGCCAAUACUGACGCUCAUGCACGAAAGCGUGGGGAGCAAACAGGAUUAGAUACCCUGGUAGUCCACGCCCUAAACGAUGUCGACUAGGUGUUCGGUGAGGAGACUCAUUGAGUACCGCAGCUAACGCGUGAAGUCGACCGCCUGGGGAGUACGGUCGCAAGAUUGAAACUCAAAGGAAUUGACGG
rnacentral:rRNA from 1 species